GCUCCAAUAGCGUAUAUUAAAGUUGUUGCAGUUAAAAAGCUCGUAGUUGGAUUUGUGGCGUACGGCGGGUUCCAGGCACUUGUUGUCUGAGUAACUUGCCGUUGUCAUCCUUGGGUGGAACCUGUGUGGCAUUAGGUUGUCGUGCAGGGGAUGCCAUCGUUUACUGUGAAAAAAUUAGAGUGUUCAAAGCAGGCUUAUGC
rnacentral:rRNA from 1 species